GUGGGACUUUAUUUUAGUCUUAUUUCCUUUCAUAGUCUUCCUAGAGCCACAUCUGCACACUUUAUCACCCUUAAUCAGCAUAUCAUAUUUGUGUGACGGCUCAUCUGAUUGUGGAGCAUUUGUGUUGUUCAGCAGUAAGCAAACAUAAAAGACAAUUGACGUAACCAUGACUGUGGGUGCUGUUGUUCUUCUGGCUGCCUUUGUGAUGAAUUCACAUCAAACACAAGGUUCUAUUUGGUCUGUGCAGUUUGGAGACAACCUACUUCUAAACAUGACAGAAUCUUUUCAUCUCAACAAAGGAGAUCAGUUUUAUUGGAAAUUAAAUGAAAAAAUAUUACUUAAAACUGAAGAUCAAAACUGUAAAGAGAACAUUACAGUUUUUUUACAAAAGGCCAAACUUCAGGAAAAUUGCUCUCUGAUAGUUAAAAAUGUGCAAUUCAGUGACAGUGGAAUAUAUACGGCAGAAGUGAGAGGGAGCAACCGCAUAUACGUCAAAUACAACGUCACAAUCCAAGGUUUUUCCAGUAAGGCCACCGCAACUGUUACUUCGGCAGUUUUUCUGCCUCUGGCUGUGACCUGUGUAGCUUUCCUCGCAAAAUGAAAUGGAACUAGACCAAGCACUAGGUCAGAAUCCUGCAGAAGAUGCCUCUGGUCCUCAUCUCACAUCCCCCACAUUCACUUACACCUUAGCAUAUUUCCCACUGGACAUGUGACAUCUGUUCAGACCAAAUGCACCCCAUCACAUACAAUUACACACCUACCAAAGAUGAUGCAUGUGCAGGUUGAGAAAUCUAUCACAACCAAAACAUGAAAAACACAAAUGAUAUGUAUUUACAGGACUAAAUUUGUACUUAAUAAAUGGAAAGAUGGCAUUUUAGCCCACCCAUAUAGUUUGCAUGGUGCUGGCACGCAGUGCUUUUUGGCUGACUUUUUAACCAAACUUAACCAAGACUAGUUAUAAAGUUAAUUUGUAGUUGACUAAUUUCAUAAUCAGUGUCUGAUAUAAUAGCUCAAACAUAUAAAGCUUGUGUAGCCUAACAUCUAAUGUAGAUGGUGGAUUUCUAUGUCGUUAGCCUAAUAGCAUAAAUAUUAAAGUCAUAUUUCAAGGUUUUAUAAGCAAUGAUGCACAGUGACUCAGCAGUAUUAGGAGAGCAGAUGUCAUAAUUUAGACAAAAUGGGACUCAGGCAGUUAUGCUAUGAGGUUAAUGAUAUCACAACCAAGAAAAUUUAUUUUAAUUUUUGUUGUUGUGUAAUGUUCAGAAGCUACCUAGUAAAGGCUAUGUGUGACAAAACAACAACAACAAACAAAACAAACAAAACAAAAAACAAACAAAAAAAAACAAACAAAAAAAAAC